CGGGACGGGUGAGUAACGCGUGGAAAACCUGCCGUAUACUGGGGGAUAACACUUAGAAAUAGGUGCUAAUACCGCAUAAGCGCACAGCUUCGCAUGAAGUGGUGUGAAAACUCUGGUGGUAUACGAUGGUUCCGCGUCUGAUUAGCUUGUUGGUGGGGUAAUGGCUCACCAAGGCGACGAUCAGUAGCCGGCCUGAGAGGGUGAACGGCCACAUUGGGACUGAGACACGGCCCAAACUCCUACGGAAGGCAGCAG
rnacentral:rRNA from 1 species